rnacentral:lncRNA from 1 species
GUGGUCAGUCAUUGUGGUUCAUUGAGCAGUAUUUGCAUAUGUUUGAGAGGAUGUUGAUGUUGUCCCAUCCUAGUUGACCUGAGUGGUCAGUUCUUGUGCUUCCUUACAGUUGAUGACCUAUACGGUCGAUGAGCCCUAUGGGCAGGAUUGUCGGCUGGUUGCCGACGUUUGGCCUUUGAGCAUAUCAGUAUUGACCGCCCGAUACUCGUCGCAUUUCACGAACACUGGCGGUCUGAUCCACCGCAGGGAGUGUUCUUUUCCGGAAAAGUGGUUGCAGGUGUCAACCCGUGAGCCCUAGAGGGGUUAUAUGCAUUGGAGAGUAGUAGUGGCAUAGGC